UGCAGUCGAGCGGUAGGCCCUUUCGGGGGUACACGAGCGGCGAACGGGUGAGUAACACGUGGGUGACCUGCCCUCCACUCUGGGAUAAGCCCGGGAAACUGGGUCUAAUACCGGAUAGGACCACUGAUCGCAUGGUUGGUGGUGGAAAGUUUUUUCGGUGGGGGAUGGGCCCGCGGCCUAUCAGCUUGUUGGUGGGGUGAUGGCCUACCAAGGCGGUGACGGGUAGCCGGCCUGAGAGGGCGACCGGCCACACUGGGACUGAGACACGGCCCAGACUCCUACGGGAGGCAGCAGUGGGGAAUAUUGCGCAAUGGGCGGAAGCCUGACGCAGCGACGCCGCGUGGGGGAUGACGGCCUUCGGGUUGUAAACCUCUUUCGCCAGGGACGAAGAGCAAUUGACGGUACCUGGAGAAGAAGCACCGGCCAACUACGUGCCAGCAGCCGCGGUAACACGUAGGGUGCGAGCGUUGUCCGGAAUUAUUGGGCGUAAAGAGCUCGUAGGCGGUGUGUCGCGUCGGCCGUGAAAACUUGGGGCUUAACUCUGAGCGUGCGGUCGAUACGGGCAUCACUUGAGUUCGGCAGGGGAGACUGGAAUUCCUGGUGUAGCGGUGAAAUGCGCAGAUAUCAGGAGGAACACCGGUGGCGAAGGCGGGUCUCUGGGCCGAUACUGACGCUGAGGAGCGAAAGCGUGGGGAGCGAACAGGAUUAGAUACCCUGGUAGUCCACGCCGUAAACGUUGGGCGCUAGGUGUGGGGACCAUUCCACGGUUUCUGUGCCGCAGCUAACGCAUUUAAGCGCCCCGCCUGGGGAGUACGGCCGCAAGGCUAAACUCAAAGGAAUUGACGGGGGCCCGC
rnacentral:rRNA from 1 species